UACGGGGGGAGCAAGCGUUGUUCGGAUUUACUGGGCGUAAAGGGCGCGUAGGCGGCCUGUGCAAGUCAGUUGUGAAAUCUCCGAGCUUAACUCGGAACGGUCAACUGAUACUGCUCGGCUAGAGUGCGGAAGGGGCAACUGGAAUUCUUGGUAUAGCGGUGAAAUGCGUAGAUAUCAAGAGGAACACCUGCGGCGAAGGCGGGUUGCUGGGCCGACACUGACGCUGAGGCGCGAAAGCUAGGGGAGCGAACGGG
rnacentral:rRNA from 1 species